GGUCGGGUGGUGUAGUUGGUUAUCACAUCUCGUUAACAUUGUUAACUCAAAUACCGAGAAGGUCCUGAGAUCGAGCCCCAGCCUGAUCA
rnacentral:tRNA from 1 species